GUUAUUACUGGAGAGAUAAAGCCAAUAUUUAGCUGGUAGUUUCUGCAGGUUUCUAUAUAUUUAGCUGGUAGUUUCUGCAGAUUUCUAUAUAUUUAGCUGGUAGUUUCUYCAGAUUUCGAUAUAUUUAGCUGGUAGUUUCUGCAGGUUUCUAUAUAUUUAGCUGGUAGUUUCUGCAGGUUUCUAUAUAAUUAGCUGGUAGUUUCUGCAGGUUUCUAUAUAUUUAGCUGGUAGUUUCUGCAGGUUUCGAUAUAUUUAGCUGGUAGUUUCUGCAGGUUUCUAUAUAUUUAGCUGGUAGUUUCUGCAGGUUUCUAUAUAUUUAAGCUGGAAGUUUCUUCAGGUUCUAUUUAUUGAGCUGGAAGCUUCUGCAGGUUUCU
rnacentral:lncRNA from 1 species